rnacentral:rRNA from 1 species
UGGGCUUGACAUGUUUGUCAUAGUCCCGUGAAAGCGGGACGUCAGUUCGGCUGGACAAUCACAGGUGCUGCAUGGCUGUCGUCAGCUCGUGUCGUGAGAUGUUGGUUUAAGUACCGCAACGAGCGCAACCCCUGUGUCCUGUUGCCACGGAGAACACGUUUCUCCAGCACUCUGGACAGACUGCCUCAUUUGAAUGAGGAGGAAGGUGGGGAUGACGUCAAGUCAGUAUGGCCCUUACGCCCAGGGCUGCACACGUGCUACAAUGGCAGUGACAAUGGGAUAAUCCCAAAAAGCUGUCUCAGUUCAGAUUGUCCUCUGCAACUCGAGGGCAUGAAGGUGGAAUCGCUAGUAAUCGUGGAUCAGCAUGCCACGGUGAAUACGUUCCCGGGUCU